ACGUCCACAUCAUGUUGAAAAAACCGGUUCUCGUCCAAUGACCAAAGAAAGUCAAACAAGAUCGAGCGCGGUCAGUACUUGGAUAGGUGACCGCCUGGAAACCCCGCGUGACGU